AGAACGAAAGUCAGAGGUUCGAAGGCGAUUAGAUACCGCCCUAGUUCUGACCGUAAACGAUGCCAUCUCGCGAUUCGGAGGGUUCAUGCCCUACCGAGGAGCUACCCGGAAACGAAAGUCUUUCGGUUCCGGGGGUAGUAUGGUUGCAAAGCUGAAACUUAAAGAAAUUGACGGAAGGGCACCACAAGGCGUGGAGCUUGCGGCUUAAUUUGACUCAACACGGGAAAACUCACCCGGUCCGGACACUAUUAGGACUGACAGAUUGAAAGCUCUUUCUCGAUUUGGUGGUUGGUGGUGCAUGGCCGUUCUUAGUUGGUGGAGUGAUUUGUCUGGUUUAUUCCGAUAACGAGCGAGACUCUAGCCUGCUAAAUAGUCGACGAAUCUUCGGGUUCGUAUAACUUCUUAGAGGGAUAAGCGGUGUUUAGCCGCACGAGAUUGAGCGAUAACAGGUCUGUGAUGCCCUUAGAUGUCCGGGGCUGCACGCGUGCUACACUGGUGGAGUCAGCGGGUUUUUCCUAUGCCGAAAGGUAUCGGUAAACCGUUGAACUUCUUCCAUGUCCGGGAUAGGGUAUUGUAAUUAUUACCCUUAAACGAGGAAUGCCUAGUAAGUGUGAGUCAUCAGCUCACGUUGAUUACGUCCCUGCCCUUUGUACACACCGCCCGUCGCUAUCCGGGACUGAACUGAUUCGAGAAGAGUGGGGACUGUGGCUGCGAGGUUUUACCACUUCGCAGUUGCGGAAACCAUUUUUAUCGCAUUGGUUUGAACCGGGUAAAAGUCGUAACAAGGUAGCUGUAGGUGAACCUGCAGCUGGAUCAUCG
rnacentral:ncRNA from 1 species